UAAUCUUCUCCACUUUCUUCACUUUCAUCUUCUCCACUUUCUUCGGCAUUUCUAGACAUUUCUCUCUCUCUCUCUCUCUCUCUCUCUCUCUCUCUCUCUCUCUCUCUCUCUUUCUGUCUCUCAAGUCCCUCUCGAGUCUCUCUCUCACGCUCUCUCUUUUCCCCUCGACAGCCGUACUACCCGGGUGUCGUUUCUAGCUCCGCCGACCGCUUCUCCGGCAGCCUUCAACCAUCUCAUUUGUCUGAGAUUUGCACUUCAGCUGCACCGGUCUCUAAAAAGUUUUUUCUCGAGUUAGCUGUUGGCUUUGAGGAUCCUCAUGUUCACCAUCAUAUUGGUGAUGAUAUGUUCAAAAUAGUGUGGUUGCUUUUUUCCCUCUUUAAUUUGGUUUCUGUUGAAUCGGCCUGGGUAAGCUGGAAUCUAUGGAUUUAGGUUUUUGAUAUUCCAAAUAUUACACGUCUCUAAAAAGCUUUUUCUCGAGUUAGCUGUUGGCUUUGAGGAUCCUCGCCCCCUUUUUAAUUUGGUUUCUGUUGAAUCGGCCUGGUUGAAACGGAUCUUCAGGCAAGAGCAAAAUUCAAGUAUGAGAUACGAAAGCAUUUAGCGGAGCAUUGUAGAGCUGAAUAUGAUAGGGUGCCAAACUUCCUCCACUGGGUUCUUGCUGAAAUUGCUAUUGUUGCGUGUGACAUUCCUGAAGGGACCAUAUGAGCAUAUGUAUGAACAGUAAGAGGAGUUCCAGCAGGAGCUGAAAUUGAAGGUUCGAGACAUAUUAACACAACAAGAAUGGCGAAGGUGAAAAAUGCAGAUGAGGAUAUCAGAAGAGGAAGGUAUAUUGAAGGAGGAUGAAGAAGAAACAAAAGAGAUAUGGAAGAGAAAGCAUGAGCACGAGGAGUAGUGGGACAAGAGGACAAAGGGGAUGCUGUUUUUAUUCAGAGUCUACAUGUCGAUUAUGUGCUUCAAGAAGACUCUGUGCGGAUUACAAGACAGAGAAGUUGAAUCCCUUGCAUCCGUCCGGACGUCCCUGUCAAUCGUCCGGAUGCUCUUCAGUUAAGCAACAUUUGUUCAAAAGAUUUGGUUAUUUCGUCCGGACUCCCAUCAGUGUCCAGAAGCUUCAAAUUGUGUAAGCUUGCAUCCGUUCAAACGUCGCUACAAUGGGUCUGAACUCUCUUCAAAGUUCCAAAAGAAUCCAGCGUUCAAGUGCAUCCAUCCGAAUGAUGUGGUAAUACCAUCUGGAUGCCAAUCCUUAUUAUGGAAAUUAUGUGUAGCUAAAGUGCAACCGCCUGGACGCUAGGGCACCACCGUUCGGACGUGGCUCUAUUCAGGAAAGAAUUUCAGGGAAUUUAGAAAGACGGUUGCACAUUUGGCCGUCUAGACGCCCUCAGCUAUCGUCCGAAUGCCGCCUAGAGAAAAUCAAUUCAGACUUGAUUUAGGUCUUCUAUAGCCUAUAUAUAGAGGCCUCUACGCGUGUACAAUGUACAGAAUUCGGUAUUGAAUUCUCUAUAGCUUAGAGAGGGUGUUUAGGGAGAUUUGAAGAUCUACUAGCUCUUUAACUGUUGCAAGUGUGUGAUUUGAUCAGCUGUGAAGUCUAUCUUAGGGAGGAGUCAUAAGGUAAAGGAUUUCAAUGAAGACCCUUCAAGUAGGUGACUUGGUUGGGAGGCGUUCAUGUUGGGUUACACGUCAGAGUGACCGCUUGCCCCAAAUCAUGGUUUUUCGCUCGUCCGUUCGGUACGAAAUUCAAAAGGCAUAUAGGUCCAGUUGAGGCGAUCAUGUGAACACGCAGAACUUGUCAUUUGGAGUUCGAUUCCCAACCCCCGACCCCCAAUGUUCGGUUCAGAAGGCCAGCUUUUUUUGGAAAGUCCAGAAUACCAGAUUUGGAGCAAACGGUCACAGAACGGAUCAAAAAAUUUUGGGGACAUCCCCGCUGAUAAUAUCUACACCGUCGCAAAAUUUUAUGCCAAUCAGAGACUGCAUAAACGCUACAUUGGUAAAUAAUCUAGCCAUGAAUGAUUUGAUAGUUCAAAGGAUGGCUCAGAUAUAUCAUGACAUGGGAUGGGAUAUCCCACUUGAGGAUUUUUCCCCUGCACAACCUGAGGAGGGACAACCUGAUGUUCCAAACAUGGAACAACCAGAGAUCCUGGCCCCCAUUGAGCAUUGGGAGGAGAUUCCUGCGUCACCGGUAGAGAGUGUUUUCUGUAAUACUAAAGACAAAUAGGAUAUGAGGAGGAGGAGUACCAGGAUUACCCAAAUCCUUAGGUGGAUCCAGUUGUCAAUACUUGAGGCUAGCUUGCCUCCAUUUUGUGGACUGCUGUGUUCCAGUCGUUUAUUAUAUUAUCUUGAGAACGAUAUUUAUAUUUCUGUUGGUGUUUAUUAGCUAUACUCUAGUUAUUUUGGCUUGUAAAUUAUUUGUGCCUUGUGUGGCACAAAUACUAUCUUAUGUGUAAUUAUUCAGUUACACUUUAUAUAUUUAUUUUGAGGUAUUUCAAUUAGAA